GCAUCUGUGCAUGCAGCAUAUCAAUAAGCGGAGGAAAAGAAACUAACAAGGAUUCCCUCAGUAACGGCGAGUGAAGCGGGAAGUAGCUCAAAUUUGAAAUCUUGAAAGGUCACCUUUCACGAAUUGUAGUUUAAAGAAGUGUUUUCUGUUACGAUCGUAAUAUAAGUUCUUUGGAAUAGGACAUCACAGAGGGUGAGAAUCCCGUCUAUGAUUGCGAUUUGUAGCUUUGUGAUACACUUUCAAAGAGUCGGGUUGUUUGGGAAUGCAGCCCAAAACGGGAGGUAAAUUUCUUCUAAGGCUAAAUAUUGGCGAGAGACCGAUAGCGAACAAGUACCGUGAGGGAAAGAUGAAAAGAACUUUGAAAAGAGAGUUAAAUAGUACGUGAAAUUGUCAAAAGGGAAGCGUUUAACACCAGUGUUGUUUUCUGAAAAUCAACCUCUGUUAGCUUUAUGCAUGUUUGUUUAGACCUAAUCAGCUAUCUUGCAUGUUCUAUUGUUUGCAGUGGUGCACUUUUCAGUUUACAGGUCAACAUCAGUUUUUUUUACCGUAAAAAAGUUAAAGAAAGGUAGCUCAUGGCUCCGGUCGUGAGUGUUAUAGUCUUUUUCCUAUGCGGUAGGAGAGACUGAGGUCUGCAGUGUAGGCUAUUUGGCUAGAUACUCAGGUGCUAUGUGAUACCAUUUCAUAAACAACUUGUUGAUUAUGUUUUGUCUAUUGCAUACUCGCUUGUACUAUCAUACCUACGCUUAGGAUGUUGACGAUCAGCUGAGCGCG
rnacentral:rRNA from 1 species